AUUGAACGCUGGCGGCAGGCUUAACACAUGCAAGUCGAACGGUAACAUAAAGAAGCUUGCUUCUUUGAUGACGAGUGGCGGACGGGUGAGUAAUGCUUGGGAAUCUAGCUUAUGGAGGGGGAUAACUACGGGAAACUGUAGCUAAUACCGCGUAGAAUCGGGAGAUGAAAGUGUGGGACCUUCGGGCCACAUGCCAUAGGAUGAGCCCAAGUGGGAUUAGGUAGUUGGUGAGGUAAAGGCUCACCAAGCCGACGAUCUCUAGCUGGUCUGAGAGGAUGACCAGCCACACUGGGACUGAGACACGGCCCAGACUCCUACGGGAGGCAGCAGUGGGGAAUAUUGCGCAAUGGGGGCAACCCUGACGCAGCCAUGCCGCGUGAAUGAAGAAGGCCUUCGGGUUGA
rnacentral:rRNA from 1 species